GGCAGCGUAUUCGGUAGCGGGCUCGUAAGCGAUUGAUUUGAUUGGUGUCACGCAGAUUGCAAAUCCGUGUAGGUCGGUUCGACUCCGGCCCGCGCCUCCA
rnacentral:tRNA from 1 species